CCCGCCCGUACGGAGGGAGCCGCCGUCGCUGCGGCUGAGGAGCGGGCGCCGCGCAGGCGCACGGCCGGGCUCCGUGUCUCGGGGCGGGGC
rnacentral:tRNA from 1 species